rnacentral:lncRNA from 1 species
UAUGGCUUGUAACGUGGUUGGGCUAAGAAGAACAUUGGUUUUUCUGGAUCACAAAAUCCUUGAGUCAAGAGAGUUAUUCACAUUUAUAAUUUAAGCAUAAACUCUCUUUAAACAACCAAUCUCACUCAUUCCCAACUUUCCUUUUUCUUUGCAUUGAGGUUUUCUUCUCAUUUUAUCUUUUUUUUCUUUUUUUCUUUCUUUUUCAUUUUUUAUGUUUUGCUCAACACAUUAGGCCAAUGCUUAUCUUUUUCUUUU